rnacentral:rRNA from 1 species
GACGAACGCUGGCGGCGUGCUUAACACAUGCAAGUCGAACGGAAAGGCCCUGCUUUUGUGGGGUGCUCGAGUGGCGAACGGGUGAGUAACACGUGAGUAACCUGCCCUUGACUUUGGGAUAACUUCAGGAAACUGGGGCUAAUACCGGAUAGGAGCUCCUGCUGCAUGGUGGGGGUUGGAGAGUUUCGGCGGUUGGGUGUGGACUCGCGGGUUAUCAGCUUGUUGGUGGGGUAGUGGCUUACCAAGGGUUUGACGGGUAGCCGGCGUGAGAGGGUGCCGGGACACAGUGGCACUGAGAUACGGCCGAGACCCCUGCGGGGGGCAGGAGUGGGGAAUAUUGCAAAGUGGGCGGGAGCCAGAUGCAGAAACGCCGCGGGCGAGAUGAGGGCCUUCGGGGUGUAAACCGCUUUCGCUUGUGACGAAGCGUGAGUGACGGUAAUGGGUAAAGAAGAACCGGCUAACUAGGU